rnacentral:rRNA from 1 species
GAGUGAGGAGGGGCGGUCCCCGCGAGGGAGUACUGCACACAAACCCGCCUCACUCUUCCUUUCGGUCGCGCCACGCCUGCUCUUCAGUGAGCGGGUGUGGUGACGCCGGAUCUGUUACUUUGAACAAAUUAGAGUGUUUAAAGCAGGCAUUUGCCUUGAAUACGUUAGCAUGGAAUAACAAAAUGGGCUUUGAUUGUCAUUUUGUUGGUUCAGAUGAUCAAGGA